UACGUAGGGUGCGAGCGUUGUCCGGAAUUACUGGGCGUAAAGAGCUCGUAGGCGGUUUGUCGCGUUGUUCGUGAAAUCUCACAGCUUAACUGUGGGCGUGCGGGCGAUACGGGCAGACUGGAGUACUGCAGGGGAGACUGGAAUUCCUGGUGUAGCGGUGGAAUGCGCAGAUAUCAGGAGGAACACCGGUGGCGAAGGCGGGUCUCUGGGCAGUAACUGACGCUGAGGAGCGAAAGCGUGGGGAGCGAACAGG
rnacentral:rRNA from 1 species